GAUGAAGAACGCAGCGAAAUGCGAUAAGUAAUGCGAAUUGCAGAAUUUCCGUGAGUCAUCGAAUCUUUGAACGCACAUUGCGCCCACUGGUAUUCCGGUGGGCAUGCCUGUUCGAGCGUCAAUUCAACCCUCGAACCCCUCCGGGGGGUCGGCGUUGGGGAUCGGCCCUCCCUUAGCGGGUGGCCGUCUCCGAAAUACAGUGGCGGUCUCGCCGCAGCCUCUCCUGCGCAGUAGUUUGCACACUCGCAUCGGGAGCGCGGCGCGUCCACAGCCGUUAAACACCCAACUUCUGAAAUGUUGACCUCGGAUCAGGUAGGAAUACCCGCUGAACUUAAGCAUAUCAAUAAGCGGAGGA
rnacentral:misc_RNA from 1 species